AGGGAAUACACAUCUCUCCUGGAAUCCACACCAAAUUAUUAUGUCAGGGACCUAACACUGGCUACUAAAUAUUACGAAAAUAUAAAUGGAGCCACCGCCGUGUGAUGUGGACUCCGUCUGUCACCAGGCCUCAACGAGUCUCCCCCUGGUGGCUUGUCCGUGAUACGCCACAAUGAACCUGGUGGACACUGCAGGGCAUUAGAUAUCGUUCGUUGCCACUAUCUCAUGUGAGAGACAGACCAGUUCCUUGUCUUUUCUGUUAGCUACUAAGUAGACUAACUAUUUCCACUAAUAUUAAAUCUCUUACAUUUUUUUGCUGUAG